rnacentral:rRNA from 1 species
AGCGGAGGAAAAGAAACCAACAGGGAUUGCCCUAGUAACGGCGAGUGAAGCGGCAACAGCUCAAAUUUGAAAUCUGGCGUCUUUGGCGUCCGAGUUGUAAUUUGCAGAGGGCGCUUUGGCAUUGGCAGCGGUCCAAGUUCCUUGGAACAGGACGUCACAGAGGGUGAGAAUCCCGUACGUGGUCGCUAGCCUUUACCGUGUAAAGCCCCUUCGACGAGUCGAGUUGUUUGGGAAUGCAGCUCUAAAUGGGAGGUAAAUUUCUUCUAAAGCUAAAUACUGGCCAGAGACCGAUAGCGCACAAGUAGAGUGAUCGAAAGAUGAAAAGCACUUUGGAAAGAGAGUUAAAAAGCACGUGAAAUUGUUGAAAGGGAAGCGCUUGCAGCCAGACUUGCCUGUAGUUGCUCAUCCGGGUUUCUACCCGGUGCACUCUUCUAUAGGCAGGCCAGCAUCAGUUUGGGCGGUUGGAUAAAGGUCUCUGUCAUGUACCUCCUUUCGGGGAGAACUUAUAGGGGAGACGACAUGCAACCAGCCCGGACUGAGGUCCGCGCAUCUGCUAGGAUGCUGGCGUAAUGGCUGUAAGCGGCCCGUCUUGAAACACGGACCAAGGAGUCUAACAUCUAUGCGAGUGUUUGGGUGUCAAGCCCGAGCGCGUAAUGAAAGUGAACGGAGGUGGGAACCUUUCGGGGUGCACCAUCGACCGAUCCUGAUGUCUUCGGAUGGAUUUGAGUAAGAGCAUAGCUGUUGGGACCCGAAAGAUGGUGAACUAUGCUUGAAUAGGGUGAAGCCAGAGGAAACUCUGGUGGAGGCUCGCAGCGGUUCUGACGUGCAAAUCGAUCGUCAAAUUUGGGCAUAGGGGCGAAAGACUAAUCGAACUAUCUAGUAGCU